GCUUAGAGUUUGAUCCUGGCUCAGGAUGAACGCUGGCGACAUGGAUAAGGCAUGCAAGUCGAACGGAACUAAUCACACGGAAGCGUAAAGUGAGUUUGAGUAGCAAUACGACGACGAGCAAUACGUGGAGGAGUGACAGUUUAGUGGCAGACGAGGUAGUAAUACAUAGGAAUCUCCCCCAAAGUCAGGAAUAACUCACCGAAAGGUGGGCUAAUACUUGAUAUCUCGCAAGAGGAAAGAUUUAACGCUUUGGGAAGAGCCUGUGCAAUAUCAGCUAGUUGGUACGGUAAUGGCGUACCAAGGCUAUGACGUUUAGGGGAGGUGAGAGCCUGACCCCCACCGAUGGGACUGAGACACGGCCCAUACACCUACGGGUGGCUGCAGUCAAGAACUUUCCGCAAUGAACGCAAGUCUGACGGAGCGAUGUCGCGUGAUAGAUGAAGAGCUUCGGUUUGUAAAUAUCUUUUAUGUGGGAAGAAUUUUGACGGUACCACAUGAAUAAGGGGUUGCUAAACUCGUGCCAGCAGCAGCGGUAAUACGAGUACCCCGAGCGUUAUCCGGAAUUAUAGGGCGUAAAGGGUGAGUAGGUGGAUGUAUUAGUCGAAUGUUAAAUCUUAGAGCUUAACUUUAAGUCCGCAUUCGAAACGGUAUGUCUAGAGUAUGUGAGGGGUGAGCGGAACUCUAUGUGUAGGGGUGAAAUCCGUUGAUAUAUAGGGGAACACCAAAAGCGAAGGCAGCUCACUGGCACAUUACUGACACUGAAUCACGAAAGCGUGGGUAGCGAAUGGGAUUAGAUACCCCAGUAGUCCACGCCCUAAACGAUGAUCUCUAGCUAUUCGGAGUAUCGACCCUCUGAGUGGCUAAGCUAACGCGAUAAGAGAUCCGCCUGGGAAGUACGGCCGCAAGGCUAAAACUCAAAGGAAUAGACGGGGACCUGCACAAGCAGUGGAUUAUGUGGUUUAAUUCGACAGUAAACGAAACACCUCACCAGGAUUUGAAGCUCACGUGAAAUCCGUAGAAAUACGGCCCUUGAAAGACACGUGGACAGGUGAUGCAUGGCCGUCGUCAGUUCGUGGUUUGAACUGUUCCCUUCAGUGGGGCAACGAACGCAACCCUUAUUGCGUGUUACAAGUGUCACGCGAGACUGCCCAGCCCAGUGUUCAUAAUUUUUUAUAAAUUGUGAGUAAUGGGCUGGGAGGAAGGAGAGGAUGACGUCAGGUCAGCAUGUCCCUUUGACAUCCUGGGCUACACACAUAAUACAAUCGGUACAACAACGGGUCGCGACGAGGUAACUCUGAGCCAAUCCUUCAAAUGUAUCGCCAGUUCGGAUUGAGGUCUGCAACUCGACCUCAUGAAGCCGGAAUUGCUAGUAAUCGCGGGUCAGCCAUUCCGCGGUGAAUACGUUCUCAGGUCUUGUACUCACUGCCCGUCAACUCAAGAGAGCUGGAAGUACCCGACGUCUGCCCAUGUGGCGGCCUAAGGUAAGUUCAGUGAUAGGGAGUAAGUCGUAACAAGGUAACCAAGCC
rnacentral:rRNA from 1 species